rnacentral:rRNA from 1 species
UACGUAGGGUGCAAGCGUUAAUCGGAAUUACUGGGCGUAAAGCGUGCGCAGGCGGUUAUGUAAGACAGAUGUGAAAUCCCCGGGCUCAACCUGGGCACUGCAUUUGUGACUGCAUAGCUAGAGUACGGUAGGGGGGGAUGGAAUUCCGCGUGUAGCAGUGAAAUGCGUAGAUAUGCGGAGGAACACCGAUGGCGAAGGCAAUCCCCUGGGCCUGCACUGACGCUCAUGCACGAAAGCGUGGGGAGCAAACAGG